GUUUGGAAUCCGUGCUUCUUCAACUCAUGACCUCUCUGAAUUGGUUUUGUGAUAUGGACAUCUAUCCAGGAAGAACUGGUCUGAGAUCAGCCUGUUUCUCAUAGCACCUCCAGUAGCCAUUCGCAGCACUAGAGCCCCCAUGAAGUCAACAACUAUGACCAGAGCAGCUCCAAAAGCUUGGUCUACACUAAUGAGAGUUUGAAUAUUCCCUCAACUAAUGGCAAACCGUAUGAGAAAUUAAAUAGAUGGUCAGAAGACAUGCCAAUACAUUCAUCCAUUUUAUGCUGCAUGAGAUGGUGGUGACUGUGCAUCUCCCAGGCCUCAAGUAACACGGUAAUAUAGAAUAAUUCAUUUGCACAAGGCAGCAAAGCGCUUAAAAGAAAUAUUAAAGAG